UGCCUCUGCUGCACAAUAUACAAUGCAUCCUAGAUGCCGGGAUCUCAACUAUCCCUAAGUUCACGUCAAGUUUACUACACUAGACUCGAUGCCACUCGUUCGGUCAUUGUAGUAAGUUUUCUACUAGUUGACAUGCCACUCGUUUCAAUUUAGUGUUUCUACUACACUAGUUCAAUGCCACUCUACUAGGCUAUCAUAUGUCCAAGUUCGGCUCUUUAUGCCGCUAUAGGAUUCUAUGUCACAAAACCCAAUCCUCAUGCUAUCCUAGUCCACGUGUCAAGCUCACCCCGCUACACUACCAAGAAAGCAUGCAAGGAAAUGGAAAUGUACAACUACUAUUCCUAUAGCACAAUAUGAUCAAUAUAAUUAACUUAGACAUAAAAGAAAACCCGGAUGUUUCGGGAUGACACCCCCCACCUUUUGUGUAUAAGGAGGCUCUAGAAAUGCGCUUCGGCGUUCUUUACGACGAAGCCUCGGUCUCCUUGGUCCAAAUGACGCUCAAUCGGCCUUGUUUCGCCGAUAGCUCUUGACCCGCUCGACGAAUGCGAAAUCCGACUUCGCCCCCGCGUUUUGGCACCUACCAAUUAGGUUUACAAGGCCUCAAAUGAGAUCAAGCUCAUACUUUACCAAAAACCCUAUUUUGGUGCCCUAGGGUUCCCAUCUUGCCAUUUGCAAUUUGGAACCCUAACUCUAGCUUCAAUCCUCCAACAAUGGUGCUAGGGGUCCAUUUGACCCCAUUUCCAAAGCUCAAAACCCAAAAACCCUAAGUUUCAUAGCUAGGGUUUGUAGCCUACCUCUUGUUGUAGCUUCAAGAGAGAAGAGAGGAUGAAGGAGAGGUCCAAAAGCCUUCUUUUGUUGAUCUCCUUCUUCUUCUCCUUCCUUUUCUCCCUUCAUUUCCUUCUCUUUUCCCUUCUUCUUCUUCUUCUUUCCCUUCUAGAGAGAGAGAGAGCAAUAAAGUGUGAGGGAGAGAGAGAGAGAGUGGGCUGAGGGAGAGUGAGAGGGAGAGAGGGACUAAUAAGCCCUCUAAUGUAACAAUAUCCAGUUAAAUCCCUCCACUUUUCACUCUGUGCACUGCCCUUACUGGGCUGCCUGCGCGCGAAGGGACCGGUCUCCCCGACUUGGGACCGGUCCCCGAGAGCUUCAGCUCGGGUCACGCGUUCGGGUACCGGUCUCUCCCAGAGAGACCGGUCCUCGGGAGACCGGUCCUUGCCUCUGAGACCGGUCCCCGAGAGCAACAUUUUCAGGACGUAGCCAAAUUUCUGGCUUUCUCGCUGGGAUCACGUUCGGGGACCGGUCCCUCACUGCCAGGGACCGGUUGCCUCAAGCAACCCCCGCAACACCAGCCGAUGGGACCGGUCUCUCCCUGCCAGGGACCGGUCCCCGAGAGCAGUUUUGCUCCAGUGCAGGUUUCGCACCAUUUGCUCUCGUGGACUCGUUUUCAAUGCACUUUUGGUGAUUUUAAUAUCUUUGGCUUUUCCAAAGCUCACCAACACGACCCUUGGUCGGUUCUGGAUGAAGUCUAAUCCUCGUAUUUCGAGAAUUCACUUCCUCACAAAGCCUAUGCCACUGCCACUCUACCUGUGUAUAACCCAAGGUAGCCUAUGGGCUCACAGGCUGCAUAUAACCCAAGGUAGCCUAUGGGUUCACGGGUUGGCCCCCUCUUGUGGUGGAUCAGACCGCUGGUGUUCGUGAAAUGCGUACGAGUCUCGGACGAUCAAUGCUGAUAUGCUCAAUAGCCAACCGUCGGCAACCAGUCGACAAUCACCGCCCCUCGGGGCAAACCGACCAAUAGGUCAUCACACUAUAAGGAAGCACAAGAACCGACCGCUCAGGUCAACUAGGAUGGAACCACUUAACACCCUAUCGAAGAUAUGCAAGUAUAAUCCAGAACUAACCAUCAACCACUAGCCGACAAUCCUACCCCUCAGGGUAUACCGACCGUAUAGGUCAUCACACAAUGAAAGUCACGAACUGACUAAUUAGGUCGCAAGCAUAUCCAACAGUAGAUCUGAGUAAACUAUAAUCAACCGUCGGCAACUAACCGACAAUCCCACCCCUCAGGGUAUACCUGUGUCACGCCCGAGUACCAGCGGAAGCAUAUCCGGUACGUGCACAGACCCGCCAUACACCUGCCGUAUAUAAGGCGUCUACAAGAACACAAGUCGCUAGGAAGAAAAACAUAGAAAAUCCUAUCCUGAUAUCAGAGCAAAGUACAAGUCGAUAAUACUAUCAACAAUAGCAUAAGGAGUACACAAUCCAAAAUCUCAACUAAAAGAGAAAAUAUCACAACUAUAGUAUCUGGUUCAACAGUAAAUAUACAUCACGAGGUAUACAAAAAAUAGGUACAAUGGUGGUCUCUCUAUAUAUAGGGACAUCACCCUCGGCCGUAACCCGAGUAGCAAGGUGAUCGACUAGCAUGCUCCUAGCAAUGUCUAGCUAGACGCGACUCCCUUGCCACGAUCCCUAGCCUCUCCUGUAACAGGCUCUGUAAAAACAACCACAAAAAGGGCGUGAGAACUAUUAACAAUAGUUCCCAGUGGGUAAGCCGCCAGCCUCGACGAAUUACACCACUAGGCUCAUGAUGUAAUGAAUGAAAGUAAAAGCAGUGAUUGCAUGAUAUAUCUAUAUGAUGCUAACAAGUAAUGAGCAUGUAAUCAACAUGUAAUCAUAAUUUCUGCAGUAAUGAAUCAAACUAUAUAAUAGAAACAUAGCCACUACUGUAUCAUGAACAUAAACAUGAACAUAAGCACGAAUGUGUAAGUACUACUGUACACUAUAACUGGUAAGCAUUCAUUACUGUCAUUUGUCAUUUAGAGCUUUCAUCUCAUUUAGAGUUUCCUUUCAUUCAUCAGGGCCUACCCAAGGUAGUCCGGCUUGCGCCGCGCCUAAUGGCCCCGUGGUAGUAUACACUCCCCACGGCAAUCCACUUCGGCACCCAAUCCCGCACGGGCGAGCAACUGUCGCGUAGGCCAACUCCGGAGUGCCGGCUUGUAGGGAGCGACCCUCACAAGCGUGUGCGAAUGAGCACGAUGGCAAGCAAGCAUAAUCCACAGUCCAAUAUGUCUCAAUUAUCAUGUUUUAGCUCACAAUAUUCUCGCUCUCGAUCCUUUGAUCGGAAUUUCAAUAUAACAAUUAUUGACAACAACUAGUAUCCACUAGACUAAUAAACAUGCGACAGUAAUGCUAAUUUACAUAUGGCAUUAGAAUCUUUCCACUAUCAUGGCACUAUCAACAUAGGCAAAAAGCAUGUCAUUGUUCUCUACUUUAGAGUCAAGAGAAUGUCAUUGUUCUCUACUUUAUAGAAGCAUUAUAAACUUAUCUCUUGGUUGUUCUACUGAACUAAACAAGAAUACUAUUAUGCAUGAAUACUUUUAUGCAUGAAUGCUCUCUACUUCAUAGAGGUUCUAUUUCAAUUAUAUCAAAUGUUAUAGUGACAUGUUCCAAGUACUUUACUAAUCACAAUAAUCACAAUUACACACAACUAUACCAAUUCUAUAGUCACAUAUAGAACAUAGGGGAGCUUCACUUGCUCUGGUUAGGUCAAACCCACCUAGUACUAAGCUCAAAUCAGUCCAAAGGAAUCCCAAGGAUCAGCUCCACUAGGUCUCAAUCCUGCUGAACACAAAGCAUGAAUAUCGUAUCAAAACUACAACCGAAAUGUCCAAUUUCGGCGCAAUUGCACUUAGUACAUAGUAAUAGCUUAAAUCCCUGUUUUGGCUCAGUUAAUACCUCAAGUUAAGCUUCCAAAAUCCCUCACGCAUCAGCCGGAGAUAAUCCGAAGGUCCGUUGCAAGCCCGCUGCGAACCAUUUCCAAAACAGCAACAAAGUCAUCAAAUACUAAUAAAUAUAGUCGGAAUCUUGCGAAUUCAGUUUUCUAACUGAAAUUCCUGCUUACCUCAGGUUAGAACACUUCUAGACCAGUCCCCAAGGUCACCAAAUUAGCUCAAAGUGGUUCAAAAACCUACUGCGAAGGAAUCAUUCCAAACUGCAUUAGUUACCCGAUUAAACUUCAUAUAGUUCCGAACUAGCUUCAUAAUUGGCUAAUUAUCUCUAUCAAGCUUCAAAGUAGCAUAUCCCUGGUCUAAGGAGAUUAAUUCACAGCUAAUUAACUCAUCUUUAAUUGCUGAAACCUCAGUUUAAAACAAUUGGAAGCAAAAACCUGAAAUUAAUACCCGAUUCGACUACUAGAACAUCGAUAACGAAAAAGUUGAGCCGAUUACCUUAUCAACCCUCCAACCAGCAACCUACUAGUCUAAAGCUGUGAAGAACCUUCCACAAUACUCUCUCACACGUCCACCAGGGCUCUGCGACACUCGCAAACAGCGGAGAACAAGCGGUGCGACAAAAACGAGCUAAAUCGGCGAUUUCUUUGUAGAGAAAGAAAAACCCUAGAGAGAGAGAGUAAGGAUGGUGCAAAGACCUUUCUCUGGGCUCUAGCAUCAUCUAUGGGGCUCCAGAGGUCGUGCUGGGGUCAAGUAGAUAUGGAUUAGAAGUGAAAUUACCAAAUUAACCUUGCUGCCACGUAUCUGCCAUUCUGUACCGGUACACCAAGCAAAAAAAUACUGAUUUCGCCAAAUCAAUGCACUUUCUUGCUUUUAGCUUUCCAAACACCCUCUAACUUGUCCAAAAACUUGUCCAAGCCUUUUAGAACAUAUAGGAUAGAUCCACAUAUCAUUCCUCACACUCGAACUUCGCAAUUUGCAAAAGUUCAGUGUAUUACAACCUGUAAGGUACCGGACUUUUAAAAUCAUGAAGUUACGAUGUACAUUUGGUUGGAGAGCCAUUAGAAUGGUUCCGGUGAAGUUCCGGUUAAGUCCGGAAGCAUUCGGGCGUUUUCGGUGCGCGUAAGCGCUAAAACGGAGCCCGAAAGGCUAUGUUUGUGACACACGGGACCUUUGUAAAUUGCGAGGUUUGAGUGAUUGGAUGUGUUCCGAGCUAUUCCACACUUGGUGGAGGGUCGUAGAAUGUUUUUCGACCUAAAAAGUUCGAAAACCUGAGUUCUGGACGAGUCCUGAGAGUUUUUACUCUCGAGGACCGGUCCCUAAUAGGAGAGACCGGUCCCCCAGUGAGCAGUGUUGCGGCCAGCCUGAGGCAACCGGUCCCGGGCGGGGAGAGACCGGUUCCCGAACAAUGGUUUUUCGGGUUCGACACGAGAGACCGGUCCCAUGCAGGGAGAGACCGGUCCCUCUGGGCGAAAAUUGCCCAGUCCGGGCUGAUGUAAAUUUGAGUUUUUGAGGGGCCUCUCUGGAUUUUGUUACUCUAAAUGGUCUAUAUGGUCAUUUCACUCUCUUCUCUCCUCAUUUCUCACCCUCUCCCCAUACCCUCUAGAGAGAGAAGAAGAAGGAGGAGGAGAAGAAGAAGAGGAGGAGCUUGCUUGAGGGAGCUUGGAGCUUCAACCCUUUCUCUCCUUCCUACCCUUGCAAGGCUUGGAGCUUGCUUGUUGGGCUUGGUGGUGGACCAAUCUUCAACCCUAGAAGAUUUGGAGCUUAUUUGGAGGCAUCUAGAGAGGUUAGUACUUUGAUUCUAACCUUUGAUCCUUGUAUUGGUAGGUUUUUACCAUAUGGAACCCUAGAAUGGGAUUUUAGGGUUGAUUUUGGGGCUUUUUGAUCUAGGACUUUUGAGGUUCGAUUACUUGGUUUAGAAUCUUCCUUUGGGUUGGAUUGGAAGGAUUCUAGCUUUCUUUUGGGGCUUGAGAGAGGAUUUCUACUCCUUAGGUGAGUUUUUGCCCUUUUCGUGUGAUUGUUAAUGUUUGAGCCUAGAGUUGCUCGUAACGCUUGUGUAUCGCUUCGCUCAUUACUUUUAGGGUAUUUUGAGACUUGUGGACAACUCCAUUCGGCGAAGCGAGGGACUACGCGACGGUUCGGUAGGUUUGACCUAGCCACAUAAUGAGAAAAUCUCAUUUGUGAUGAUUUGUGUAUCGUUAAAUGUUAAAGCAUGCAUAAUCAUGUUAAAUAUAAUUAUUGUGAAUUUUAGUAUGCUUAAUAUGUCUAUGUUAUGUGUAAGAGAAUUUCGGACCUCUAUGUAGUAGAGAACUAGCAUGUGGAACUUGUACAUGUUUGGCAUCCUAUGGAGACUUGAUAUCAUAAUUCCUAUUGUGAAAAUGAGCAUCUCUUGCAUGCAUUUAAAGUUUUUCCUAUUUGAGACUUAAAGACUCUUAGUAAGCCAUAAAGAGGCUCGGGGACUUGUACUACUUGUGAAUAAUUGGGCUAAUGUCAUAAAAGGGCAUUGAGCUCGGGUUAUGUGUGAACCUAGUGGAUAGUGCCAUUGAGAGAAUUGGAACAUGCUUGUACAUCGAAACGUCUAAGUGUCAUAAAGGGGCACUAGACUUAGUAAAUAUUGGAACUUCACAUUGUGACAUUGAACUAGAUCUUUGAGAUGCUAGCGACUUUUGCCAUGUUAGAGACAUGAUGAUUGGGUAUUUGAGACGUUGACUACGCUUGCUUGCCAUUUGUGCUCAUUCGCACAUGCUUGUGAGGGUCGCUCCCUACAAGCCGGCACUCCGAAGUUAGCCUACGCGACUUAUGUUCGCUCGUGCAGUAUCGAGAAACCUACGGGGUCGGGAAGGAUAGACUCAUUCCUAGAGUGGGAAUGCUGGGGCUACCACCGACACUUAGGUGGCACAAGCUGGACUACAAUAUGUGGGUCCUAGAACAUGUUGGAAACAAUGACAUUUAAUCGGGAGAUGACAAUCACUACUAGAUAGGGUUAGUAGUUGGAUUACUUUGACAUGCUUAUAGCAUAGUGUUGAGACAUGUAGUAUACUUGAUAGUUUACUUACUGCAUCGUAGUAUACUUAGUUGCCAUGAUAGAGCAUACUCGUUAUACAUUGAUAGAACAGGUUAUGACACAUACUUGUUGCCAUGUUGGGACAUAUUACUUAUGCACUGAACAUUCUUCUUUAUGAAAGAGUAAAUAUAAAGCAUUGACAUCGUAAUGUUUAUAGUAUAGUAAGUUUAGUAAACAUGCACACUUUCAUACCGCAGUUAUCUUUAUUAUUAUUGAUGCUUUUUCGUACUUACCCUUUUCUUUUGGGGCCUAGUGGUGCAUUGAGCUGAGGUCAGUAAUUGCCCACUAGGAACUAUAAAUUAUAGUUCUCACGCCCUCUGUUUUACGUUUUCUUUCAGAGCCUUCCACGCCGGGAGAGGCUAGGGACCGUGGAAAGGGCGUUGCUUUGAGCUAGCUCUUCGGCGAGUGAUGAGUGGAUGGUGGUCUACCUCUCGAUGUUUUAUUUUGGAGAGGUUGAGAGUUGUACCAGUGUUUUAGAGACCACCCUUUUGUGUACUAUUUUGGAGACGAUAGUGUAUAACUUUAUGUUUCACUCUUAUUAUUUAGUACUUUCCGUUUACCUUGUUAUAGAUGACAGAUCUAUUUGUGCUCUGAUAUCUCUAGAUGUAGACUACCCUUGGUUUCUUUUCCGCUGUUGUUUUAGACGCCUUAUAUGUGCUGACAUAUGGCGGGUCUGGGCGCGCCACCGGGAGGGCCUCUGCCGGUCCCGGGGCGUGACAAUGUUGGGCCAUGAACUAAAUACGGCGUUAGCGUGGAUGAAAAGAUGAUGUAAAUACGCUCGAAAACAUGUUUGGGGAGUCUCGGUUCGAUUUGAAAAGAAUUGGAGGUCAAACGAGCGAAAACGAGGGAAAACGGAGAUGAAACGGUGAAAAAGCUGAAAUUUAGCUAAGUCUGGGCUGGAAGUCCCUCUGGGACCGGUCCCAGGCAGGGAGAGACCAGUCCCCGAAGCCCGAAAAUGCCCAUUUUGGGCUGUUGCGUGAAUGGCAUUGUUGAGGGGGUUUAUUGCAAUAUUGCAUUAGUAGAGGCUAUUAGAGGGUGGAAGGAGAUCCUUCUCUCAUUUCUCUCAACCCUAACAUCCUAAAACACUCCCUCUCUCUCUCUAAAGCUCUCAUUUUCUCUCUCUAGAAGGAGAUCAAAGAGAAGGAGUUGGAGGAGAAGCAAGCUUGGAAGUGGGUUUCAUCUUCCUCAUCUUCUUCCUCAGGGAAGAGCUUGGUUGAGGUAAGCUUCUUGCCUUUUAAUGGUGGAUCACUAGAGUAUGGGUUUUAAUCUCUAGAAAUGAAUUUAUUGGAACUUUAGCAUGCUAGAGAAGUGAUAAAUGCUAGAAUCUAGAGAUUACAUGAUAGAUUUUUGCAUAGUUGUGACCUAGGGCUCCAAAAUGGGGUUUUGGGAAAUCUAGGGUUUUGAUCUAAAUUGAGUGGUUGUAAACCUAAUUGCUAGGUAUUCUGACGCGUUGGCGAAGUCGGUUCGGCGAUUCGUCGAGCCGAUGCAAAGAUAUUGAAGAAAAGGACCUUCCGGCAUUCGUUUCCGCCUGGAGGGCCGAGGCGGCGUCCAUAAAUCGCGGGGUCGGAUUCCAAGUGUCGUAGCAAGAAACCGAAGACCUAUAAUUUUCGAAUCGCGGAUCGGAGAUCGUUCGGCAGUCGCGCGCAAAUUGGGUCGAGCCGAGCGGCGUGCGCCGCGGGAGGCCGAUUGCGAGUGACGACGAGCAAUCGGAACGCGAUAAAAGGUGGGGGGUGUCCAUCCCGAAGCAACUGAGCUUCUUCCUAUGUCCGAGUUAGAAUUGUUAAUCAUGUUCCAUAUAUUUAUUCUUAUGCAUUAUAGGAUAAUUGUUAUAGAUGCAUUCUUUCCUUCCUUUCCUUGCAUGCUUGCUUAGUAGUGUAGCUGGGUGGCUUGACACAUGAUUCUAAGGGGCAUGAGGAUUGGGUUGUUUGACAUGAGAUCCUAUAGUGAUAAGAAUUGGUGAACUUGAAUUUGGUAACGAGAACCAAUGGAUCGUGAAUUAGUGUAUUAGAAACACUUGGAACCUGGAUGAGUGGCAUGUAAACAAUGUUAAUAACAUGACGAGUGGCAUCGGAACCUAGUUUGUGGCAUGUUGCAUGAGAUGGCAUAUUGCAUGAGAAUUUGGUGUAGUGACACUUAUUGUCACGCCCCGGGACCGAUACCAAUUUGGGCCGGCCCGAGCACGUCGAACAGACGCCGAACGGACAGAGUUUCCCCUAUCCGCCCAAGGCUCAUCACAUGUACAAUUUCAAACAAGAAGUGCACUAGCGGAAACAUACACAUACGGCUUACACGAGGGUAAGCAAUAGCCAUGAGUGAGAGAAAGGAAUUAAACAUCUACACAAGUAAUAUGAUUCUUUUUAGAUCACAUACAUUGUAUUUAACUAACUUGUACAUCAUAAAGUCUUUACAUUCUUUCAUCAUUUCUUUUACAUCACAUUUACCUCAAAAUGAUCAUUGCAUUCUUUUCUUUACAUCACUAGUCAUCAAAUACAAAAGAUGAACAUAGGGUACUCUGCUAACAAAAUAUAAACCAAGCUCAGCUCUGGUGGCCUCUGUCUAAGGCGCGAUACCUUUACCUCGGUCGCUCGCCGGCUCGCUCGGUCCCGGCUCUGUGGAAUAGUGGGGUGAGAACUACAACAAAGUUCCCAGUGGGUUCGGCCUCAAUCUCACCGACUUUCCCACUAGGACUAACUCAAGCAUAAUAGAAAGGAUAAGCUGCACAUAGUAACCAAUCUACACAUGAUGCUAAUAUGCCUGAACAAUAAAGCAAGGAAUAUGCUCAACAUUAAACAUAUGCAGAUUAUGCAAGUUCUAUCGUUCUUUGACUUUACUCUUUGUUCUUUAUUCUUUAUUCUUUGUUCUUUGCUCUUUGUUCUUUAAUCUCAAGGCUCACCCGAGGGUCUCGCCACAUUAACUUGCUUCACAUUAAGUCCAUCAUCGCAGGAACUCACCCGCUAGGACCGUCCUCGGGUUUACUCCAACCCGUGAUGCAAAAACUCCGGAGCGCAUCGCCCGAGGGGGAGCGACCGCCCUCGAGCACGGAACUCAUAGCAAGUAUGAUCGAAUCCUUAACUCUAAGGAUUAUAUGUUCAAUCAUGACAUUACACUAACUCUAGUGUUCUUUUCAUCACUUUACAUUGCUAACUUUAGCAAUUCAUUGAUCUUUACAUUUCUUUACUUUUGGCUAUCUCUAGCACUCAUGUCUUUACCUUUGCACGUUCUUUAUGUCCCACUUUGCUUUAACUUUAAUCAUUGUCAUCAUUCUUUACAUCACUUUAAUCCUUUGCCUCACACUAACUCUAGUGUCACUUUACUUUACAUUACCGAAUGCCACUCGAUCUAUGUCAUUGUGUCACUCUGUUCUUUUGCCUCACUUAGGUACUCACAUUUUCUCUCAUGCAUACAUAUAGGGUUUUUCACAUUCAUAAGGUUCUCAACCAUCACAUUAAGCAAGUUGUACUCACAAUCAUGCAACAUCACAUUCCCGUCAUUACUUUACCCUAAAAUGCAUGCAACAAUUUAUAAAUACAUAUGCUCAAUUGAAUGACACAUUAGGCAUAGAGAGAAGUUCAACGAGUUUGAAUAGCACCACCCACCUCGUAGGUUUACUUAGGUGCUCUGGAAAUUAUCUUGGGAUUUAUAGGCUCCUCGUUCUUCACCUGCGGCAAAACGAAGCCAACUUAGGCCAUUUUGCCCAUAUCUUUACAUACACUUUUCGUAACGCUUUUCCGAGCGCACCAACGCGUCGAAAAUACCCCCAAUUAGGUUUCUAGAGGGUCAAUUGUACUUUAGAAACAUCACGAGCAAAAGCCCCAAUUUGGGUGCCCUAGCUCUAUAGCAUCAUCAAACCUAGGGUUUGAUCUCAUUGGGAAGCAAAAGUAGCUUCAUUAUACUCUAAAGAGUCCAUCUAAACCAUUCUUAACUUUAUUAAAACCCUACUUAGGGUUCCACCAUGAGAGGAGGUGGAGCUCACCUUCAAGCUUCACCCAUAGACCAAACCAUGGUUUUGAUCUCUAAAGAAGCAAAAAGAAAGCUUCAAAUACUCAAGAGGUUCUAUAAAAACCAUUUCUAGCCUAAUCCAAACCCUAGUUUGGAUUCUACCAUGAUUAGGGUUCAAAGCUUACCUUGUAAGCUUUCCUUUUCCAAGCUAGAGGAGGAGAGGAGAGAGUUGCUUCAACUCUUCUUCUUGUUCUCCACCUUCUUCUCCUUCUUUUCCUUCUUUUUCCUUUGUCUUUUUCUUCUCCUUCUUGUCUUCUAGAGAGAGAAAGGGAGGAGAGUGUGAGAGGGAGUAAAAUGAGAGAAAUAUCUCAUUUGCCCUCCUACUAUACUCUAUGGGUUACAAAACUGCAGAUAAACCCCUCAACUUUCACUCUUUCACACUGCCUGGACUGGGUUGUUCGCGCAGGCGGGGACCGGUCUCUCCAUCAGGGACCGGUUCCCGAAGCUCGUCCCAGCGCAGCCAGAGCUGCCGCGCGCGAUGUGACUGGUCUCUCUUUGGGGGGACCGGUCUCCGGGGGACCGGUCUCUCAGGCAGGGACCGGUUCCCGAAGCCUGCCUUCUCAGGACUUAGCCGAUUUUUCGGCUGUCUCAUUUCUCACGCGUUCGGGGACCGGUCUCUCCCACCAGGGACCGGUCCCCGAGAGCUGAAAAUCAGCAGUUUGCAGAAUUUCGAUUCAUUAGCUCUCGAAAACCUUCUACAACACACUUUCGACCAUUUUAACACCUUCGGACUUUCCGAAGUGUACCGUCCUCGCACUUUGGUCAAUUUGACUAAAGUUUGAUACUUAUUUGCCGAAGCUUUUCGGUAUAUUACACUUAUGGCAUUGAACAUAGGGAUAGGUGGAUUUCCCUAGCUAUGAUUCGGGUAGAGAACCUAAAGUGUUGUGUUGUUAACCCUAGAUGGUAGGGUAUCCUCGAGUUGAGAGGAUUGGAUCAUGCUCACUGUCUGUUCAGAACUUGUGUUGGUCGCUCCUCACAAGUGUGCGCUCCGGAGUUUUGUCACAUGAGGGAUAGCCUUAUGGGGUCCCGCAGACGGUCUCCGGUUUGUGAACGAGUUGAGUUUCCUUACCAUGAGAUGCAUGUGAGUCGUGGGCGAACCUCAGGGUUGGCUAAGGAUUGGAUGAUGACAUGGAUAACUUGAGUCUCCUUACCUUACGAGAUGCAUGUGAGUCGUGGGCGAACCUUAGAGUUGGCCAAGGAUUGGAUGAUGACAUGAAUAACAUAGUGAAUUUGCAUCCAUACUGUGAGUGGACAUACUAUUCCUUCACCUAUGAGAUUUGAGCGGGGUAGCUCUGUACCUAUUAGAGUGAGAUUUGAGACGGGGCGAAGAGCGGGGUAGCUCUUCACCUGUGACCUUCCAGAUAUAAGCCGGGCAAAGAGCGGGGUAGCUCUUUACCUAUAGCAUUCGAGAUAUGAGUUGAGCCAGGCAAAGAGCAGAGUAGCUCUUUACCUAUGGCAUUCGAGAUAUGAGUUGGGUGAGACAAGGGCGGGGUAGCUCUUCACCUACUAGAAUUGAGAUCUUAGGCGGUUAGUCUAAUAGAUUGGGUAGUGACAUGAAUAGUGUAACAUACCACACCCCUCGUAAAUUGUGCCGAGUUCCGUCGAAAUGAGCGGGACGCGGAGUUGAACGAGUUAGUAUGGGCUCUAAGUCACGUGGAGCCUCUAUAAGGUGUUAAGGGACCCGAAAUGAGCGGGACGCGGAGUUGAACGAGUUAGUAUAGUCACUCAUGCAUGUAGGGUUAAUUCACAUGUGAACUUUGGUUGUUUCAUUAUGUUUUCUCUAAUGUAUUGGAGAGUAGAAAGAUAUGGAACCGCGAUGGACAUGUAUUGUUGAACCCUAGAGAUUGCAUGAUGGUGAGACUUGGUCUUGACAAUGGUAAAUACCUAUGACAUUGACAAUAGAGAGAUAGAUUGGCAUUGACAAGUAGGUGUUAAACAUAGGUUUAACCAUAGUGACAUUGUGACAAAAUGAUUAGCAAGUGACAUGAACAAAUGGGUAGAGAACCUAGCAUAAAGGUGGCAUUGUAACUAGUGGCUAAGCAUCCUCAAGUUGGGGAUUCGAUCGAUACUCAUGAUAAGUCUUGGCUUGAGGGUGGUAGCUCCCCCUCAAGCGGUGAGUUUCCGGAAAUAGUCACCUCGGGGAGCGAGGUCCCCGACGACGGUCCCUAGGGUUGGUUCGAGGCCCCCUGUUAUGACGGGAUUUGGGUUAUGAGUUAUUGGGGUGAACAAAGUUAACCGGCAAGAUUGGGUAAGAGCCAAAGCUUAUUUAUGAUUGGAGCAUGCAUGCAUUUCCAUUAUCGCAUUGAAUUAUAUAUCCGCUGACUUCCUUCUUGCAGGCAUAGUAUUAGUUGCAUUAGUAGUGGUUACUUUCCUUCUUUUGAAAUACUUAUGCCUGGAUAGACCUAGUGGGUAAGUCGGCGAGGUCGGAUGCCGAGCCCACUGGGAACUUUGUUUAGUUCUCAUACCACUAACCCUACAGGUCCUAGCACGAGUGGAGCGGCGGAGGACCGUGGCAAGGGUCUAGCGCCGUAGAUAGCGGCCACCGGGACUAUUUUAUAUUUUGUAGUCAUUCCCUUUUGUAUACAUGAAUCAACUUCUUUUGUUGAUUUAGCAAGUUGUAAAGUUUGAAACAAUAUGUAAUUUUGGGUGAAUGGCUAAAUGUAAAGAAUUAUGAAUGAAAGCAUGAAAUGUGAUAGCUUAGUUUACUUUUAUUUGAUGCAAAGGCAAUCAAGUAUUAUGUAUGGUUGAAUGUCUUAGCUUAGAGCUUUCUCUUCCGUUGUCACUUGCCCUCGUGCAAGCCUUGUAUAGUUGCUAAUCUCAUGGUUUGAUUGCUUAUUAUACAUGUUUUGGAGCCUUGGGUAGACAGGGGAAGCUCUGUCCGUUCGGCGUCUGUUGACGUGACCGAACCCGACCAAAUUGGCGGGGUUUGGGGCGUGACAGAUAUAAUGGUAUCAGAGCCCAAGUGGAAAGCAAAAGUCUAGGAGUGACCUAGGAACCAUAGGUUGGAGGCCUUAGGAACUUAGGAAACGUUUAACGUGGAUUUGGCUUAUGCGAAAGCGAAUGAUUGGGUUAACGAUAACACUUCUCUAGAUGGAAGUAGAGAUGGACUAGAAGGCUUAAUCGUUGUCCGCUUAAGGGACCUUGUGGGGCGGCCGACCACAUGACUCCAAGAGUGGAAUAGCUAUGUUCAAUGACAUUUAUUAAACCUUUAACCUUUCAUUUACCCAAUCUUUGGCGAGGCCCUAGGGCUCACCCAUAACUCAUCUUUCAAUCCCAAAGUGGGGAGGGAGCUCCAAGUGCACCCAAGCCCGGGACCGUCUGCGGACCUCCAUGUGGUCCGGACCUCCAAGUGGUCCUAGUCGCGCGACACUCCGGAGUACUCGACGACAAUCCCCUCUAUGUGGGGAUUGGAUGGCCAUACCAUCCUAAAUGCAGACUGUGAGCUAGAUCUAUCCUCUCCAAGUGAGGAUACACUGUAACUAGGGUCACACCCAAUCCAAUCCUCUCCAAGUGAGGAGGCUCUACAACUAGAGUCAAUAGCCCGAUCGAAUCCUCUCCAAGUGAGGAAGCACUCUGUAACUAGAGUCAACAUCUCUCGCGGGAUCAUUUGUUCCCGACAUUCACGCAAUGCCAUUUAGUUUUCUAAAUUCAUUGUUCACAAGGCAUUUUCUAAGGGAUCCACCUAUCCCUAGGUCCAUCGACCUCUAGUGUCAUUUACACUACAUUAAUGCCACUCGUCAUCAUUUAACAUUUGGAUGCCACUCGUGUGUUCUUUAACACUAAACACUACUUUCUAUGUCAUCAAUACCCCCAUCGGGUUCAUCUCUUUUCUUUCACAUCAUAGGAUCCACGUUCCGACCCAAUCCUCACCUAUCUAAGUUACCAAGCGUUCCAAGUACACUAGGUUAUCAAUUAGAAAGCAUAAGGAAUGGAGCUACUAUGCAAUCCUACAAUGCAACAUGAAGAGAUGAGAUUAAAUGCAAUCUAAGACAUAGAAAGGAGUUCGAAAGCUUCGGGAUGACACCCCCCACCUUUUACCAACGUAGAGGUUUUAGAAGCGCUCCUCGACGAGCUUUACGAAAAGGCUUUUGCCUUCCCUAAUCCAAGAUAGCGCCGAAACGACCGUAAUUCGCCGAUUGUUCUAAGUCCGCUCGACGAAUCGCGAAAUCGACUUCGCCCCCGCGUUUGGGCACCUAUCGAUGAGGUUUACAAGGCCUCAAAUGAGAUCAAUCUCAUACUUUACAAAAUGCCCCCAUUUGGAGCCCUAGGUUGCACAUAUAGCAAUCCACCAAUAAAACCCUAGAUUCAUAGGAUUGAUCUACUUAGAAGCAUGCUUGGGGUCCAUUUGACCCAUUCCAAAGCAUAAAAACCCAAAAACCCUAAGUUUACAAAGCUAGGGUUUAGUAGCUUACCUCAAGAGCUACACCAAUGGGAAGAGGAGAGGGAGAUGGAGGUGCUCAAAGCCUUCCUCUUGAUCUCCUUCUUCUUCUCCUUCCUUGUCUUCCUCUUCUUUUCCUUCCUCUCCUUCUUGUUCUCCUUCUCCUUCUUUCCUUUCUAGAGAGAGAGAGAGCAAUAGAGAGAUGAGAGUGAGAGAGAGAGGAAUGAGAGAGUGUGAGGGAGAGAGAGGGCCCAGCCCACUCUAAUAAAGGCCAUUUUGCAUUUAGGUCCCUCAACUUCUAACCCCUUGCACAGCCCUCACUGGGCAGUUUUCGCGCGGAGGGACCGGUCUCCCCGACUUGGGACCGGUCCCCGAGAGCUUCCCUCGUGUCACGCCCCGGGACCGCUACCAAUUUGGUACGAUCCGGGCGCGUCGAACAGACGCCGAACGGACAGCACCUCCCCUGUCCGCCCAAGGCUAAA
rnacentral:lncRNA from 1 species